GUUGCCCCAGCAAGACGUUCGUUAUAGCGCUGAUGCGGCGGGAACGUAAUAAGGGAAGACAAUGUCGAGAGGGAAGCCCUUCAGAGUUAUCUCGUAGCCGGUCUCCAGGCGCCACCACAGGGCGCGGCUAUCUUCCCUCAGGCAUAUACAGUGGUACCUCUAGUUCACAGGCAACCCUCCCAUAAAGCUUCUUUGAAGGCAGUAGACCACAAACCUUGGGGUGGGGGGAAUUAACCUGGGGGAGACCUGACCUAUUAUCUCUAGAACCACAUGUACCUCACAACUGACUUUUUUCUAUGGGAAAAUUAAGCCCAUGUUUAUAUGCUUGCACAAAGGAAAGUGAAUGUUUCAGUAAAUGGAAAGUUAAAUCAAGACUCCAGACAAGCUAGUAAAGGAACAAACUUUAUUCAAAACAUCGAAGUCAUACAUUAAAAGGCAUUAAAAGAGGGAGCUUGGAAAAUAUGUACAGGAUAGCAAGGAAGGAGUUGGGAUGCUAAUCUGG